GUGUGAUUGACUUGGAGUUACAUUGUGUUGUUUAAGUGUUCCCUUUAUUUUUUUGAGCAGUGUAUAUAAUUACUGCCGCUAGGGGAACUGUGACGUCAAAGAAGUAAGUUAGUGAGAUAUUUAACAUUUCUUCUUCAUUAUGGAGAAUGACUAACGUUAGUUCUGAAAACAAACGUUUCUCCGUCUCAUAAUUUUACCCGAUUAAUUCAGGUAUGUAAUGUGCAAAAAUAAAAUAUGACUCAAAAUAUUGAGGUAACAUGGUUAAUUACAUAGUCCAUGAGUUUGGUGAUAUUUGAAGGCAGUUUUAACUGAGUGAAAAACUGGUUGGUAUUUUCCCAAUUGUAAGUAAGGUAAUGGAGUUUGGCUAGGUUGCUAAUGGUUUACAUGAAUGAAAUGGGAUUAACAUGGUGUCCAUACUUUUUUUUUUCAAAGUUUUGGAUCCAAUUUGUUUUAUUUUCUAUGAGCCUCAGCAGUUAACUGACAAAAACAAUGCAAUUGUGUAUAACAUUAUUGCAUAUACUGUAGAAUAUAUAUUUUUUGACUGACUUAGUGUUUUUCUUUUGCUGUUUGUAUAACAUACUUUGAGGUCACUGAUACUCCACCUGAUGUGGUGUAAAUUGUCGAACCAGAUCAGAACGCCUUCGAAGACCACCUUCAGGCACGGACUGAGAAGGAUGUGGUUUUUGACCAGGUGAGACUGAGCAUGGACAAGGCGCAGAAGAAUCAAGUGGACAAAGUGCUUCAACAUCUGGGUGAAUGACUUGGCUUGGAAGAAGGACGGAAGGAAGGCGAGACCCGGGAAAGCUUGAUGCUCUUUUGCUCCAAGCUGGGGUCAACAUUUGUUAAGGACCUAGCGGUUCUGCCCAACACCCAGACGUGGAUCCACCUGAUGUCCUCCAUUACCAACCACCCUCCAACUUUUCAUUACAUCAUCUACAGCUACUGUUGUCAUGUUAUCAUUAUCUGCUAAGAAAGAGCAAGAAAACUAUCAUACUGGGCACAUAAUGUGAGCUUCACCGAUUAGCUAAAAACACGAGCACUGCAAACACUCAGCACAAAGAGGGCAGCAGCGCCUGGACUUUGCAGUUUCCCUCUUCGAGUCCAUUACCUGUUGAAAAAAAAGUGAUAGGCAGAACCUCCCAUCCACACAGUACCCACGUCCUCUCUAUUCCACACACCGGAAUUCUGUAUUUCAGUCUAUGAUUGGCACAAAAAAAUCAGAAAGUAAAUUGACAUACGUACCAAAAAAAUAUCAAUGUAAAUUAGCUCACUUUGUGAUCUGUAAGGUAAGUAACAUUAAUGUGUGUGUGGGGGGGCAUUGUAAUGAUAUUAUGUUUACCCUGAUGCCUGUUUAUUCAUAAAAAAUCAGAUGGUAAAUAACAUUAAUGUUUAGCCUAUGCAAAUUAAUAGGAAUACAUCUAGCCUAAUUGGGGAUAAAUAUAACGUGGGUCGGGAUCCUAGUCAGGCUUUUGUUUGUCAAUUCCAGAUUAAAUACAGGUCUUCAUGUGUAUCAAAUCUGUUUUCAGUUCCGUUUAGUCUAAGGAUAUGCGUAAGAACGCAACUGCACUGAAAUUAAUAGCCUGAUUCAAUGGGAUGCUCCUGAAUAAUAAAUAUUUUUAUCUGUUAA